rnacentral:misc_RNA from 1 species
ACACCUCAACUCUCAUGGUCUGCCAUGAUGAGCUUGGACUUUGGGGGUCUUGCCGGCCUAGUGUCGGCUCCUCUCAAAUGGAUCAGCUUUCCAGUGUUUGGUGGCGUCACGGGUGUGAUAAUUAUCUACGCUUGUGGUUUUCCGCCAUGCAACCUUCAGCGAUGGAGGUUCGCUGGAGCUCACAGAUGUCUCUCCUUGGUGAGGACAGCUUUUUGAC